UACAGAGGUCUCAAGCGUUGUUCGGAUUCAUUGGGCGUAAAGGGUGCGUAGGCGGCGCGGUAAGUCGGGUGUGAAAUCUCGGAGCUUAACUCCGAAACUGCAUUCGAUACUGCCGUGCUUGAGGACUGGAGAGGAGACUGGAAUUUACGGUGUAGCGGUGAAAUGCGUAGAUAUCGUAAGGAAGACCAGUGGCGAAGGCGGGUCUCUGGACAGUUCCUGACGCUGAGGCACGAAGGCCAGGGAGCAAACAGG
rnacentral:rRNA from 1 species